GACGAACGCUGGCGGCGUGCCUAAUACAUGCAAGUCGAACGAGAGCGCCCUGUGCAUGCACUGUUCCAUCUAGUGGCGAACGGGUGAGUAACACGUGGGUAACCUGCUCAUCAGAGGGGGAUAACAUCCGGAAACGGAUGCUAAUACCGCAGAGGUCUUCGAGCCGCAUGGCUUGAAGAGGAAAAGGGGCUCAAGCUUCUGCUGGUGGAUGUACCCGCGGUGCAUUAGCUAGUUGGUGAGGUAACGGCUCACCAAGGCCGUGAUGCAUAGCCGACCUGAGAGGGUGAUCGGCCACAUUGGGACUGAGACACGGCCCAAACUCCUACGGGAGGCAGCAGUAGGGAAUCUUCCGCAAUGGACGCAAGUCUGACGGAGCAACGCCGCGUGAGUGAAGAAGGUUUUCGGAUCGUAAAACUCUGUUGUUAGAGAAGAACAAGUGCAAGAGUAACUGUUGGCGCCUUGACGGUACCUAAACAGAAAGCCACGGCUAACUACGUG
rnacentral:rRNA from 1 species